AUUGAACGCUGGCGGCAGGCCUAACACAUGCAAGUCGAACGGCAGCACAGAAGAGCUUGCUCUUUGGGUGGCGAGUGGCGGAUGGGUGAGUAAUGUCUGGGAAACUGCCCGAUGGAGGGGGAUAACUACUGGAAACGGUAGCUAAUACCGCAUAACGUCGCGAGACCAAAGUGGGGGACCUUCGGGCCUCACACCAUCGGAUGUGCCCAGAUGGGAUUAGCUAGUAGGUGGGGUAAUGGCUCACCUAGGCGACGAUCCCUAGCUGGUCUGAGAGGAUGACAAGCCACACUGGAACUGAGACACGGUCCAGACUCCUACGGGAGGCAGCAGUGGGGAAUAUUGCACCAUGGGCGCAAGCCUGAUGCAGCCAUGCCGCGUGUAUGAAGAAGGCCUUCGGGUUGUAAAGUACUUUCAGCGGGGAGGAAGGCGGUGAGGUUAAUAACCUCGCCGAUUGACGUUACCCGCAGAAGAAGCACCGGCUAACUCCGUGCCAGCCGCCGCGGUAA
rnacentral:rRNA from 1 species